CAUUGUGGAUUGAAGUUGGAAUCGUGGGGAGGGUCCAGCUAAUCGGCAAGCAAUUUCUCACUCCCCAAGUUAUCUAUUACCCGUGGCUGAUCUGGAUGUAAAAAUAGCCACUGAGGCUGUUUGUUUAAUCUGACUGUUACUUGACACCACGCGGGUGUUGCAGUGUGGACUGUUCGCCUCUUCCCCACCAAGAACACCAUUUGGUUUCCCCCGUCCGGGUCUCUAUUUAGGUAAGCUUCUCAGACUUCCAGUGUCUGGCCAACUUCUGGUCACUGAUUUUCCUCAGGUGGGCAGGUUUGUGAGCCAUAGGAAGAUUGGGUCUUCAGUCCACUCUCCUCCCAUCUCUGGGCAGCCCAGCUAAAGUGGGAAGAAGAAGUUCAGGCUGCUGGGCAGAGUCCGACCGCUCUCCGUUCCUAGGGAGGCCUGAAGAGCAAGCAGCUGAGACACGCGGAGAACGGAAGGUACAGUCCACGCUUGCCCGGCUCCAUGGCGUAGGCAGGGAGUCUCCAGCUCCUGGCAGGAGGAGCAUUUGCUCUGGGAGGGCCGGUGGUGUGUUGGAUGUGCAGGGCAGUGUGGGAGGCAAGGGCAUGCUGAGCGCUGAGGUUCCCGGCAUGCUAGAUCGUACAGAAGACGUGGUAUAU
rnacentral:lncRNA from 1 species